UAACAGGGCAAAUAAGUGAGUUUAAUGUUUGAAAGAGGCACUUGUGAUUGUGAUAAAAGGUGGUGACAAGCGAGAUGACGUUUCCUUGGCAAGAGAGAGGGUUUUAACUACAUGAGCAAAUCAUACAUAUAUAUUGUAGGAAGAUAAAUGCAGAGUGUAACUUUGUCCAGUUGGCCGAGAUAAUCAGGAACACCUGUGGAAGAACCCAGGUUAAUUUUGUACGUCAUGUUGGAGGUGUCACCACUGUGAAGCAUAGUUUGUGAUGCUUGUUAUUUGAU